rnacentral:rRNA from 1 species
UAGGAAUCUUGCACAAUGGGCGAAAGCCUGAUGCAGCGACGCCGCGUGGAGGAGGAAGGCCUUCGGGUUGUAAACUCCUUUUGUUGGGGAAGAACACAAUGACGGUACCCAACGAAUAAGCUCCGGCUAACUCCGUGCCAGCAGCCGCGGUAAUACGGAGGGAGCGAGCGUUGUCCGAAGUUACUGGGCGUAAAGCGCGCGUAGGCGGGGAAUUAAGUGAGAAGUGAAAGGCUGGGGCUCAACCCCAUGCAGUGCUUCUCAUACUGGUUCUCUUGAGGGUGGUAGAGAGAAGUGGAAUGGCUGGUGUAGCGGUGAAAUGCGUAGAUAUCAGUCGGAACACCGGUGGCGAAGGCGGCUUCUUGGGCCAUUUCUGACGCUGAGGCGCGAAAGCUAGGGGAGCGAAC